CCUACGGGAGGCAGCAGUGGGGAAUAUUGCACAAUGGGGGAAACCCUGAUGCAGCGACGCCGCGUGAGUGAAGAAGUAUUUCGGUACGUAAAGCUCUAUCAGCAGGGAAGAAAAUAAGUCCUCUGGACUUUGGACCGUACCUGACCAACAAGCCCCGGCCAACUAUGUGCCAUCAGCCGCGGUAAUACGUAGGGGGAAAGGGUUAUCCGGAUUUACUGGGGGGAAAGGGAGCGUAGACGGCAGGGCAAGUGUGAAGUGAAAUGCCGGGGCCCAACCCCGGGACUGCUUUGGAAACUGUGCAGCUGGAGUGCAGGAGAGGUAAGCGGAAUUCCUAGUGUAGCGGUGAAAUGCGUAGAUAUUAGGAGGAACACCAGUGGCGAAGGCGGCUUACUGGACUAUGACUGACGUUGAGGCUCGAAAGCGUGGGGAGCAAACAGGAUUAGAUACCCUAGUAGUC
rnacentral:rRNA from 1 species